rnacentral:rRNA from 1 species
GACGAACGCUGGCGGCGUGCUUAACACAUGCAAGUCGAACGGAAAGGCCCUUCGGGGUACUCGAGUGGCGAACGGGUGAGUAACACGUGGGUGAUCUGCCCUGCACUUUGGGAUAAGCCUGGGAAACUGGGUCUAAUACCGAAUAGGACCACGCGCUUCAUGGUGUGUGGUGGAAAGCUUUUGCGGUGUGGGAUGGGCCCGCGGCCUAUCAGCUUGUUGGUGGGGUAAUGGCCUACCAAGGCGACGACGGGUAGCCGGCCUGAGAGGGUGACCGGCCACACUGGGACUGAGAUACGGCCCAGACUCCUACGGGAGGCAGCAGUGGGGAAUAUUGCACAAUGGGCGCAAGCCUGAUGCAGCGACGCCGCGUGGAGGAUGACGGCCUUUCGGUUGUAAACCCUCUUUCAUAGGGACGAAGCGCAAGUGACGGUACCUAUAGAAGAAGCACCGGCCAACUACGUGCCAGCAGCCGCGGUAAUACGUAGGGUGCGAGCGUUGUCCGGAAAUACUGGGCGUAAAGAGCUCGUAGGUGGUUUGUCGCGUUGUUCGUGAAAACUCACAGCUUAACUGUGGGCGUGCGGGCGAUACGGGCAGACUAGAGUACUGCAGGGGAGACUGGAAUUCCUGGUGUAGCGGUGGAAUGCGCAGAUAUCAGGAGGAACACCGGUGGCGAAGGCGGGUCUCUGGGCAGUAACUGACGCUGAGGAGCGAAAGCGUGGGGAGCGAACAGGAUUAGAUACCCUGGUAGUCCACGCCGUAAACGGUGGGUACUAGGUGUGGGUUCCUUCCUUGGGAUCCGUGCCGUAGCUAACGCAUUAAGUACCCCGCCUGGGGAGUACGGCCGCAAGGCUAAAACUCAAAGGAAUUGACGGGGGCCCGCACAAGCGGCGGAGCAUGUGGAUUAAUUCGAUGCAACGCGAAGAACCUUACCUGGGUUUGACAUGCACAGGACGCCGGCAGAGAUGUCGGUUCCCUUGUGGCCUGUGUGCAGGUGGUGCAUGGCUGUCGUCAGCUCGUGUCGUGAGAUGUUGGGUUAAGUCCCGCAACGAGCGCAACCCUUGUCCUAUGUUGCCAGCGGGUUAUGCCGGGGACUCGUAGGAGACUGCCGGGGUCAACUCGGAGGAAGGUGGGGAUGACGUCAAGUCAUCAUGCCCCUUAUGUCCAGGGCUUCACACAUGCUACAAUGGCCGGUACAAAGGGCUGCGAUGCCGUGAGGUGGAGCGAAUCCUUUCAAAGCCGGUCUCAGUUCGGAUCGGGGUCUGCAACUCGACCCCGUGAAGUCGGAGUCGCUAGUAAUCGCAGAUCAGCAACGCUGCGGUGAAUACGUUCCCGGGCCU